CACCAAUGGGACUUCCUGUUUCAUACUGCAGGCCUGGGAAGUAAACACUUGCCUAAAAAUGAUGAACAUAGAGCACGAGGCUUUCUGCAAGCUCCGCCGCUCCAUGCACCCCACCUCGCCAGCUGACAUCGAUCCGAAGGUCCACAGCAUCGUGGAGAAAGCUGUGAGAAGCAUUCUGGGCGAGCAGUCCAAUGAGCCCCGUAGCAACCUGCUCAGCCCAUCUCAGGUGGUGGUGGAGGUGGUGCCCAGGCUCCUCCUGGCCCUGUGGCUUCAGCCAGAGGAAGGCCAUUCAGAGCACCCAAUCCUAAUAAGUGGGAUGGCCGUGGGCAUGGUGGCGGCCGUAGUGGAGAAGCUCUCCUGCAUGUUAAAGGACCCUUCCCCUCACAUCCCUUUCUCCCGGGCUGCUGCUUUUGACUCAGUGUGGUCGAUCCUGGGGAGAAUCAGUCAGUCCUUCUCCACAGAUGACCUGCAGAGCCCUUUUUAUAUGAGCUCUGUCUGUGGCUUUGUGGCUGACGAGGUGCAGAGCUGCUUCCAGCCCCCUGCAGCCACCCUACCAGUCCCCCCUGUGCUCACGGUGGCCGUUUCCACCACACUACCAGCUGGCAUCCAAGCAGACCCGGCUUCUUCCCACCUGGAGGUUGAGGACAUCACCCCUAAGAAAGAGGCAGAUCCGGCUUCUUCCCACCUGGGGGUUGUGGACAUCACCACUAACACAGAGGCAGAUCCGGGUUCUUCCCACCUGGAGGUUGAGGACAUCACCCCUAAGACAGAGGCAGAUCCGGCUUCUUCCCACCUGGAGGUUGUGGACAUCACCACUAACACAGAGACAGAUCCGGGUUCUUCCCACCUGGAGGUUCAAGACAUCACCACUAACACAGAGGCAGAUCCGGCAUCUUCCCACCUAGAGGUUCAAGACAUCACCACUAACACAGAGGCAGAUCCUGCUUCUUCCAACCUGAAUGUGGUGGACAUCACCCCUAAUACAGAGGCAGAGCCCAUCUCUUCCCUCUUGGAAGUUGUGGACGUCACACCUGAAGAAAGGACUCUCACGAUGGCCGUCUUCGUCACUCUGCCAGCUGACAUCCAAGCAGGUGAGUAACACUUAGAGAGCACUCUGACAGGUGUCGUUUGUCAUGACAUCUUAGUAGAACCUUUCAACUGGCCAGUGUUAAGAAGCUACGGUUUGCAUUAGUUUACAUUCUGAUCCUCUUUUUUCCCUUUCCAGAGGAUGUUGCUGUGGUCAUCCCGGAUGUCAACCCACACGUCACCAAGGAUGUGACACUGGAUGUUCCAUGCAGAGCUAGGAAAGGGGCAGUCUGGCGAUUAUUUUGCAGGCUUUGGAGGGCAGUGUGCUGCUGCGCCUGCCACAAGGAAGAGGAGGAACAAUAUUAAUUAUUCAUCACACCUGCAGAAAAGGGAUUGAAC
rnacentral:lncRNA from 1 species